UACAGAGGUCUCAAGCGUUGUUCGGAUUCAUUGGGCGUAAAGGGUGCGUAGGUGGCGCGAUACGUCGGGUGUGAAAUCUCGGAGCUUAACUCCGAAAUUGCAUUCGAUACUGCCGUGCUCGAGGACUGGAGAGGAGACUGGAAUUCAUGGUGUAGCAGUGAAAUGCGCAGAGAUCGGGAGGAACACCCGUAGCGAAGGCGGCACUCUGGGCCGGUACUGACGCUGAGGAGCGAAAGCGUGGGGAGCAAACAGG
rnacentral:rRNA from 1 species